GGGACGAACGCUGGCGGCGUGCCUAACACAUGCAAGUCGAGCGGAGACAGAUUUGAGCUUGCUUAGAUCUGUUUUAGCGGCGGACGGGUGAGUAACGCGUGAGCAACCUUUCUCUCAGUGGGGAAUAACACAGGGAAACUUGUACUAAUACCGCAUAAGCGCACAGCAUCGCAUGAUGCAGUGUGAAAAACUCCGGUGGUAUGAGAUGGACCCGCGUCUGAUUAGCUAGUUGGUGGGGUAAAAGCCUACCAAGGCGACGAUCAGUAGCCGGCCUGAGAGGGUGAACGGCCACAUUGGGACUGAGACACGGCCCAAACUCCUACGGGAGGCAGCAGUGGGGAAUAUUGGGCAAUGGGGGAAACCCUGACCCAGCAACGCCGCGUGGAGGAAGAAGGUUUUCGGAUCGUAAACUCCUGUCCUCAAGGAAGAGCAGAAGACGGUACUUGAGGAGGAAGCCCCGGCUAACUACGUG
rnacentral:rRNA from 1 species